rnacentral:lncRNA from 1 species
AUGCUCAACAGGAACGUUGUUCUUCUGUUCUCUCUGUUCUCUCUGCUCAUCGUGCUGGUGGAGGGAGACAUCGACUCCAGCGAUGCUGGAAUACAUGCCACAUCGACAGACAAAGAUUCUACAUCUGAUGAAGCUCCUACAGAGAGCAUAAACGCCAUCUCUCCUGAUCACCCUGAUGAAUCACAUUAUUACGGAGGAGGACCUUCAGACGUCAGCAGCUCCAGUUCACAGGCAGCAGACAAACCUGCUGUAGCUGCUCCAAACAGUGUGGAAGAAGAAGAUGAUGACUCUGAAGAAUUAGGGAAGAAAAAGUCCAGCUCUAGUUUGGCUAACCCGCAGAACUCCGCCCUCAACCACCAGAGUCCCGACCAUGCCAUUGAAAGCCCCGCCCUCCCACCACAGCCGGUAAUCCCUCAGCCCAAAACCCUGGUGAGGAGCCGAACGUCCAAGAGACGAUCCAGGAACAACCGCCGCCACAUAUAGAACAUCAACAGUCACAGUUAGAACACAAUGUUAAACCAAAUAAAACCCAAACGCACACAGAUCUGUCACAUGAUUAACACACACUCAUACGACACAUAAACUCACCUGAACACUCAAAGCAGGUUGACCUUCAGUUUCUAAAACUACCAGCAAAUUCAACUUGGUAGAAUCACCAAGCCAUCUGAUUUAUUCCAGGGUUGAGUGAAACUGCUGUCCAGAAUCCAGGGGUCAUAUUCAUUAUAUACAACAGAUAAACUCCAUGGAAAAAAGCAUUGGUCCACUCAGUCUCUUAAGGUGUUUUAACAUAUUUAACAUUAUUAUUCUGCUCUCAAUCAGAAGUUGUAAAAGUUUGGCUUACAAAAAAGAAAUACAUGAAAGACAUGAUGUCUUUUCUUUUCACACAGAAAAACCAAACUGUCACUACAAACCCUGUGAGAACCUUUAGUCUGCUUGUCUGCCAGAUGUUUGGGGCAGGAGCAAGAAAUGUAAGAACAGGAAGAAGGUUUUGGGUUCUUUCCCAGUGAUAAACAUGAAGGACCAUGAACUUAGAUUAAUUUUACGGCCAGGUGCUAGAUUGACUGUAUGUUUACUCUGCGUAAGAAAGAAAACGAAACAGAGCUCAAUUUAAUCGGAUUGAACACAGCAGGUGUGAAAAAUCUUCAUCUUUUUAAUUCAGGUGUUUUCAGUUCCAUUUCACAGGUGUAUAUAAUCCAACAGCUAGCCAGCCAGUCUGCCUUUACAAACAUUUGUGAAAGAACUAACUGAAUUUAAGUAUACCACUACAUCAGGAUACCAUGUUUGCAACAAGUCAGUUCGUAGAAUUUCUUCCCUUUAGAUGUUCUGCGUCAGCUUUACGUACUGUUAUUGCAAAGUGGAAGCAUUUAGGAACCACAGCAGCUCAGCCAUGAAGUGUCAGACCAACUUUUAUCUUUGGCCCUAAUGUAUUUCAUUGGCGUUGACCCCUGGAUCAAGCAGACCUCGGAGUAUUAAACCUGCUCAGUUUAUCUGUUUGCUGUUUUUAUUCUUUCUUUUAUAUGUGUGUUCCUGAAACAUUUAAACAUUUGUGAUGGUAAUUUCUUCUGAUUGCUUCAUUUAUCAGAUUUAAAUAAAGUUAAACUGAUCAUGAACUGUGGACCUUGUGACCUCUGAUUUUAUCACCAGUCCACCUGCAGAUUUGUGUGUAGUCCUGUGAAAAUUUUGGGGGUGUUUUCUCAAUGAGGCCAUAAUUCAUUUGAUACUGUUGACCAUAAUAGAGCGAUUAUAGUAGAGCGAUUAGAGGAUGCUGUAGCUAUUAAAGGUACUGUGCUUCAGUGGUUUGAAUAAGAUUUAUCUAACAGACAAUUGUUCAUGUAAAUGGAGAGUCCUUUUCACACACUAAGGUUAAUAAUGGAGUUCCACGGGGUUCUGUGCUAGGAUCAAUUCUGUUUACAUUAUACAUGCUUCCCUUAGGCCAGGCGUGUCCAAAGUCCGGCCCGCGGGCCAAUUGCGGCCCGCGGUCUAGUUUUAAUUGGCCCGCAAGUAAUUUUAUAAAUUGAAUAGAAAAUGGCCCGCACUUCAACUUUUGCUUGAGUGUAUUGCACUUCUUAGUUUUAACACCAGGGGGAGCUGCUGUUGAUCAAGGCAGUUGCUCUACCAAAAAGGACAAUCACAGAAGAAAUUUACCCCCAAGUUUUGAUUUGCACUGAAACUGUGGCAGUUAUGAAAGAGUAUAAUGUACGACGUCAUUAUGAAACCAAACAUCAGGCCUAUGCAUCCUACACUGGUGCUGGGCGAGAGCAGAAAUUAAAGCAAAUGCUAGCUCUCCUGCAGGGUCAGCAACAGUAUUUUUUUCGUGCUCAAAUUGUCCAGGAAAAGGCUCCAAUAGCAGCUAUGAGGUCGGGAUGGAGACCUCAUAAAACACGGCCUCGUUAAAGUCACCGAAAUAAUGUGCCCGGAAAAAGUGCAGGACUUCAACAACGUCAGCAUGUCCAGAAAUACAGUUGUGCGACGCAUUGAAGACUCGUCAGCCAAUAUUAAACUACAACUGUUUGAUAAAGCUGUGCUCUUGAUUUUUACUCCAUCGCAUGCGAUGAGAUCACCGAUGCCACAGACGCCGCACAGCUGCUAAUUUUUUGUGGGGAGUGGAUGAGAGCACGAGCACUUUAGGUGAGUAAAAAUAUAUUCCACAGUACCCGUGUGUUAAUGUGCAGGUACACAUGCUUCAAAUAUCAAUAAUGCGCAUACAUUCUGUCACUACCCUGCUUUUGCGCACCACUUUCUUAUAUGCGUUUUUCUUGUUAACACACAGAGUACACACCGCUGUGCACAGCGCACGCACACGCAAAGUCAGCUGAUCUCAUCUGAUGCAGAUCUGCUCCUUGGUCAAGUGACAUUUGUCCGGAUUUUUUGGCACGAGUGGCGUCGGAUCAGCACCGCAGCUGGAUGGCCCGAUUUACAUACCCAGCGCAGCUGAUACUCACCAGAAUAAUUUACUAAAAUUAUAUGCACUCCUGUUAUUAAGUCCAGUUCAGUCUGUUAAUGUUGAUAAUCGUUUCAAACGAACGUUAAUAGAUGUUUUGCUAAGCCUAAUAACUUAAAUAACAAGCUUGAAAUGUACCCAUCCCAUUUUCCCCUUUGUUUUUUCUCUGUGCUGUAAAUAUUCCCUCUAAGAAGAAAUCUGCUGCUGUUCUGAGAAUGAGCUACCAAAGCUUUUUCUGAAUAAAUCAAUAAAGAUCCAUUUAUGGAAAGCUGUGAUGAAAGCAGUUUUGUCUUUAAUUAUAUUCAACAAUAUAACACAUUUGACCAUUUUUAAGUGAUUUUUAAAACAGCAAAGGUUAUAUACCUAAUUUCUAGUAAGUGGCCCAGCCCCUCCUAUAUUUUUAUGUAUGUGGCCCUCAGCGAAAAAAGUUUGGACACCCCUGCCUUAGGCAGUAUCAUUAGAAGGCAUGGCAUAAAUUUUCACUAUGCCGAUGAUACCCAACUUUAUUUAUCCAUGGAGCCAGAUAACAAACAUCAAUUAGUUGAACUACAGGAAUAUUUUAAAG